AUGAUUUCCCUAGUAACGGCGAGUGAAGAGGAAAGAGCUCAAAGUUGGAACCUGUUUGGCCUAGCUAAACAGGAUUGUAAACUGUAGAAGUGUUUUCCAGGCAAUCCGAGUUAAUAAGUCCUUUGGAACAGGGCAUCAUAGAGGGUGAGAAUCCCGUCUUUGAUUCGAGAUAUUUUGUCUUUUGCGAUACACUUUCAAAGAGUCAGGUUGUUUGGGAAUGCAGCCUAAAUUGGGUGGUAAAUCUCACCUAAAGCUAAAUAUUGGCGAGAAACCGAUAGCGAACAAGUACCGUGAGGGAAAGAUGAAAAGAACUUUGAAAAGAGAGUUAAACAGUAUGUGAAAUUGUUAAAAGGGAACCGUUUGGAGCCAGACUGGCUUGUCUGUAAUCAAUCUAGGUUUCGUGCCUGGAUGCACUUGCAGACUAUUUGCCUGCCAACGACAAUUUUUUUUGAGUGUAAAAACUAUUGGAAAUGUGGCCAAUAUUUAUUUAUUGGUGUUAUAGUCCUUUAGAAAAUACCUUGAAUUGGAUUGAGGAACGCAGCGAAUGCUUCUCUUUUGAGGCAAAGUCUUUUAUUGGGAUUUACGGAUCAGACUGUGGCAUUGUCACAAGACUUGAAGUUUAAACCUAUUUUUGAACUUUUAUUCGCUUAGGUUGUUGGCUUAAUGACUCUAAAAUGAC
rnacentral:rRNA from 1 species